rnacentral:lncRNA from 1 species
UGUUCUGUAGGCUGGUCUAUUUGGGAUUGAAGAACCUGGAAUCAAGUCAAUCUGAUGCUCAAUACCUCUUGUAGGAGGUAAUCCAUGGGGGAUUUCUUCUGGAAAAAUAUCACCAAAUUCCUGUAACAAAGAAGCAACCAUACUAGGCAAGGAAGAAUUGAGUUCGUUUGUGAAAUAAACAUCCUUGUGUAUGAGCACAAGUAGCUGCUUUUUUGCUAACAAGGCACUCUCAACCUCUCUUUUGCUUGCAAAUGCACUCACUCUCUUUUUUUUCUCUUCUUUGGAUUCUGAUUUAUUCUUUUCUUUCUUCUGCUCACUCUCAUUUUUCUUAUCUUUCCUCUCUUUUUCUUGAAUGCUCAAUUUCUCCUCUCUCAA